rnacentral:rRNA from 1 species
AUGGUUACGAAGAUAUAUUUCUUCCGCUAUGGAUCCUUCUCUAUUAAAGAUGGCUCAGAAAUUAGAUUCUGGGAGGACAAGUGGCUAGGUAAUGCCACAGUCCGGGAACAAUAUCCAACUCUAUAUAAUAUUGUUCGUCAUAAGGGUGAUACUAUCGCCAUGGUUAUGGAAUCCUUUCCUCCAAAUGUGAUGUUCAGACGAGAUUUAAUAGGCCGUAGACUUGCAUCGUGGAACGAUUUGAUAUAUCGUCUUGCCACGAUACAUUUAUCACAAGGUUGCGAUGAAUUUCGGUGGAAUCUAAAUGCGAGUGGUAAAUUCUCGGUAGAGUAA